rnacentral:lncRNA from 1 species
UGAUUCUGCCUUUUCUGUAACCUUUUGUUGAUUGUUCAUUUUACGGGUUGUUGUUGCAGCUGCAUCUUCCUCUUUCUUCCUUUGAAUUUCUAGGUCCCUCAUUUUAACAGUACAUGAUUGCUUUAUAUGCCCCAGAUGUCUGCAAUCGGUGCAAUAGGAUGUAAGGUUGUCAUAUUUCAAGCCACUCCCCAUCUCCAUUGACAUCCUAAUUUUCAUCAUACCCCAACCAAACAUGGGUUGGUCUUUCUUUGGUGAGAUCAAGCUGCAUUUUUACUUUGACCACACUCCCUCUAAUUUUCUGGAAGAAUGCCAAGUCUAGGAAAAGAGCUUUUCCAACUGGGGAUAGGUGAGGGGAUAAGAUCUCCAUGUUGUACAGGUGCCAGGGUAGUUCAGGAAUCAUGAUCCAUACUGGAACUAUUGGAGAGUCUUCAUUUGGUUUGAAAAUGGGGUUCCAUGCCUCAAUCAUCAUCAUCUGGCCUUGGAUAUACAUAGACUACUUGGACCAUACAGUAGAGUGAUCAUACUCAUUGUCUAAAUCAAUAUACACAGUUUUGGCAUUGAAAUGGAAAAUUUUGACACCACCUCUAAGUUCAGUUUGGAUUAUGAAACUUUUCCUGAUAACUUCCAUCCUAAGCAUGGUGUUUGAAAACUUGGCCACUACUGUGUACUUACACCUAUCAGCAAACAUUAUCAUGUAGUCAUCUCUUUUAAAGAUAACUGCUGGUUUUC